UCAAGAAAAUGGUGGAGAUAAAUCUCGGCUGAAAAUCCUUCCCUCUUUUAUGCCCUAAUCCAACGACCCUGAUUGCACUUUUGCAGAUAUAUGGGUUUUUCUUCGACUUAUUCGCCUUCAGUUUCAUACGUUACGAACAAUAAAGAUCCCAUUGCCAUCACCAAAAUAACAUUUGAUUCCAGCUGUGAAGAAGGGUUUCUAUUAAUGGUUCAUACGUUACGAAAAUAAAGAAAGAUCCCGGUAACAGCUCCUUAAUUUCUGAUAAUUAAUCCUGGACACUAUAUAAACCUCGAAAGAUGUUAUCUUCCCAAGGUUCUCAGUUUUUUUCUGAACCAUACACCGUCAAAAUUACUGUUGAUGAUGGACAAAUUUCAGAUGGUAUAGGAUAUAUAGAGAAAAGAAGCAGCACCCAUCUCUGGUGGUAAAUGGGAUUACGUUUUGGCAAAGAGAGAAAAGAGGCAGCACCCAUCUCAGUCGAAGAGAAAAACUUUUCAGUUAAUUUUAGGUACAAAAUGCAACUUCCACAAUUUCAUUUGAUUUGCUUUAGGAUUUUUUUAGGUUAGGGUAAGAUUUUAUUCGAUAAAUUAUGGGUGGUCAAUGUCUAUGUCAAAUUAUGGGUGGUCAAUGUCUAUGGAAAAUUCAUUUGGUUUAAUCACGGAGGUUCUCAAGAUUAACAGUUUCAUGUUCUUUGUAAUUCUACAUUACAUUCUUUCUGAAAUUAUUCAUACACGGUAUGAAUGGUUUCGGUGCAGGUAAUAUUAUUCCAGUUUUUAGUAGUGGAGGCCGGAGGGGAUUUUAGAUUAUAUGCAAUAAUCACUUAGGUGAGUACACUUUUUAGUGGGAAAUUUUAUACAACAAGUCAGUUGUGGUUCACCACGUUUCUGAAACGUGCCGCAAGUAAACCAUAUAUACAGAUAAAUUGAGCGUCGUAUGGUUAUUUUUAUUUUAAGAAACUUUUGUUAUGUGAUUUAUCCCGAUAACGUUCCAUGAUAUGCUCAAUAAAUAUUCUGACAUAAUCUUCGCAUUUUUCAUUUUUAUCAAGCACGUUACUUGAAGUUCAUUUAUUUUUAUAAAAUAACUUAUUCAAUUGGGAAUAAUACGUACAGAUGUGUUCAAAGUCCAAUGGUAAUAUCAUAUGAUUUGCAUACUUUGAAGUCCGGAAGUUUACUUUCCAUCGCCACUUUUUAAACAAUUAAAAAAGUGAAUUGUUUCGGUCGACUUCGAAUUCAGGAACCCUUGCUUCUUAAGUAUUGAUAAGUGGAAUUGAUUUUCACGUAGAAUAAUUAGAUUACUUUGAAUUUGUACUCAUGUUAUGUUCUUCAACCAGUGAGCUCUGCAGGCUUUCGCAUUGUAUCAUCAACCAGCAGUGAAAACUAAAACUAUAAUGUAGUCUUAUUGUGUCUCUUAUGGUCGCAAAACUUGAUUGUAUGACAUCCCUGCUAUGAUUGAUGGCGAGACUGUUAAUGUUAGUCUUUACCAUUUGAGAUAACUUUGUUUGCUAAAGAUAGGCAACGUUAGUGGUAUCGCCAGCAAUCAUAGUAGAAAUGUUGUAUAAAAUGAGCUGCUAUUGGGAAACAACAACCAGUGGGCAGUGCAGGCUCCCGCAUCGGAUCAUCACCCAGCAUGGGAAACUGAAAAGUAACAAACCACUACCAGCACUACCUCCUUCCCUAUUUUGCUUACCGGUCAUUUUUAGGGCAAGGAAGUUAAAAUUUCCGGUAAAGCAGAUGAAAUCCAUGUUGGUCAUAAUCCAAGUUUGAGGAUAUGGUGACUACUCUAUUUGCUUUGCGCAGUAUGAUACCCUGGGCUAUCACCUUUAUAAAUGGAUAGGCUAUGCAGUAGUCUUACCAUGAAGGCAUUACGUAACUGCAUCAGCCAUCAUGUGACCAAGAGACCGUGACAGGUGUAAGUGGCUCAGUACACAAAGCCAUUAUCAAUUGUUGAUUGAAUUCUUGGUGUUUAAGAAAUACAUGGAAAUCAUCAGGAAGCAAACGCCUCCGUGGUUCUGUGGAUGAAGAAGUUGAAUGGAGUUCAGUGUCCUUCAUUUAUUCAUAACAUUUCCAUUAACAAUUUAUUUUCCAGAAUAACGUUUUGGUUUGGAUUAGCGAGAGAUAGGUCUGUAAUUUCGCUAAGUUUUACUCCCGGUCGUUCCUUUUAUCAAUUUGAGUGUUGGUUUUCAUAUAGUUGAAUAUUUGUUUUCUCUUGGCACUUUCCUUCAUAGUUGACAUUGAUUGGAAGUAACUUACUGCUGAUAAGGGAAAGUUUUUGCUUCGCAAAACUGCUUAUGUUUUGUAAUUUUGAUGUUCUGUUCUAAACUCAUUGUAAAUUUUUUAGUUUUGAUACAGAAAUUUGAAUGUGUUAUUUUGUAA